rnacentral:tRNA from 1 species
AUCGGUGGUUCAGUGGUAGAAUGCUCGCCUGCAACUCGGGCGGCCCGGGUUCGAUUCCCUGCCGAUCCA